UACGUAGGCGGCAAGCGUUGUCCGGAAUUAUUGGGCGUAAAGAGCUCAUAGGCGGUCUGUUGCGUCCGCUGUGAAAACCCAGGGCUUAACCCUGGGCUGGCAGUGGAUACGGACAGACUAGAGGUAGGUAGGGGAGAAUGGAAUUCCCGGUGUAGCGGUGAAAUGCGCAGAUAUCGGGAGGAACACCGGUGGCGAAGGCGGUUCUCUGGGACGGUACUGACGCUGAGACGCGAAAGCGUGGGGAGCGAACAGG
rnacentral:rRNA from 1 species